rnacentral:rRNA from 1 species
UACGAGGGGGGCGAGCGUUGUUCGGAAUUAUUGGGCGUAAAGGGUGCGUAGGCGGUUUGGUAAGUCUUAUUGUGGAAUCUACAGGCUCAACUUGUAGUCUGCAUGAGAAACUGCCGGGCUUGAGUGUGGGAGAGGUGAGUGGAAUUCCUGGUGUAGCGGUGAAAUGCGUAGAUAUCAGGAGGAACACCUGUGGCGAAAGCGGCUCACUGGACCAUAACUGACGCUGAUGCACGAAAGCUAGGGGAGCAAACAGG